AAUGAACGCUGGCGGCAUGCCUAACACAUGCAAGUCGAACGAAGCCUUCGGGCUUAGUGGCGCACGGGUGCGUAACGCGUGGGAAUCUGCCCUUGGGUUCGGAAUAACAGCGAGAAAUUGCUGCUAAUACCGGAUGAUGACGUAAGUCCAAAGAUUUAUCGCCCAAGGAUGAGCCCGCGUAGGAUUAGCUAGUUGGUGAGGUAAAGGCUCACCAAGGCGACGANCCUUAGCUGGUCUGAGAGGAUGAUCAGCCACACUGGGACUGAGACACGGCCCAGACUCCUACGGGAGGCAGCAGUGGGGAAUAUUGGACAAUGGGCGAAAGCCUGAUCCAGCAAUGCCGCGUGAGUGAUGAAGGCCUUAGGGUUGUAAAGCUCUUUACCCGGGAUGAUAAUGACAGUACCGGGAGAAUAAGCUCCGGCUAACUCCGUGCCAGCAGCCGCU
rnacentral:rRNA from 1 species